rnacentral:rRNA from 1 species
UACGGAGGAUGCAAGCGUUAUCCGGAUUUACUGGGUGUAAAGGGAGCGUAGGCGGCUUUAUAAGUCUGAUGUGAAAACCCAAGGCUCAACCAUGGGAUUGCAUUGGAAACUGUAGAGCUAGAGUGUCGGAGGGGUAAGUGGAAUUCCUAGUGUAGCGGUGAAAUGCGUAGAUAUUAGGAGGAACACCAGAGGCGAAGGCGGCUUACUGGACGACAACUGACGCUGAGACUCGAAAGCGUGGGGAGCAAAC